AUAAAAUCUCCAAUGAACAAUCUAUGCUAAGCUAACUAGCUACUCAAAAUACCUUUCUAUUCACUCUUCUCUCAAUCCAUGAUCUUGUUUUCAGCCAAUAGUAAAAAUCAAUUGUAAUUUAAUCCAUUGAGGGCAGUCACUCUGACAUUUUACAACAAAAUACAACAAAUUGAAAUACUUUGACUACAAUGUUGAGAGUUGGACCAGAAUCAAUCAACAGCACUACUUAGUACCAAAAUACAUAUGUAUUCAGCAGAAAAAAGUGCUUUUGGGGUUAGGUACUCUUAAAAGACGAGGCCUUGGUUCAGUUGUUUUUGGCUAACUUUUGAUGAUUGAUGCCAUCCUUGAUUAGGUCAUUCUUUGUAUUAAUAUUGUGAUUCUCUGCAUGACUGUAAAAUGCUUGUAAAAAUCACUGAUCUAAAUGCUUACAUUACUUUAGCCUGUUACUAACACAUGAUGUCACUGAUCUGCUCACUGAGCCUCUUUCUUUCCUCAGAUCCUAAAUGAUAUUUUUGAUGUAGAUUUUUUUGAUGAGCAGGCGUUUUUCCGAGAUCUGCAGGAGUUUGAGGAGGACCAAACAGUCAAUGAUGGCCAGUACGGGGCCCAACAGAAUCAUCUACUCGCAUUUCUUCAUGAUCACACGUACACUGCCCAAGAACCUCAGGGUCAACCAGCCUUCACCCCAAUUAUGGACCCCUUGCCUGAAGCUGAGCACUGGCACUCACAAAAUCUAGGGCCCGUAAACGUCCCUCUAGAUCCUAAUGUCGUCUACAUGCAGGAUGCACAAUAUGUUGAGUUCUCAACCUUUACUACUAAUGCUGUGCCUGCUAUGACAGUAAGAUCUUUAACACACGCCUUCAUGUAUUUUUGUAGAUCUUUGUAUUAAAACCAUGACGGGGUGUCUAACAUGCAUGUGUUUUUAUGUCUCUAGGAUUAUGGAAUUCCAGUUUACAGUCCAGGGAUAUAUACAGCUCCCACUUUUGGAGGACAGUAAGUAAACCAGCAAACAGACGAGAUUAAACGCAGACGUGAUUUCUGAUCCAGUUUAUGUGUGUUUAACUUUGUAGGAAUGGGAAUGACUUUGGUUUGAUGGUUCAACCACUGCCCCCAGUGCAAACAGCGUUCCCAGGGAAGGUCCCAGUCUCACAGUGAGUAAUUUUAAUCCUACAUGUAUUUCUUGUGACUGACUCUUGAC
rnacentral:lncRNA from 1 species